rnacentral:piRNA from 1 species
UGCAAGGGUCCCUUUUGUAUUUGUCCUGGU